UGGGGGCCUGGAAUGGGAGUGCAUUCCAGUCCAUCCCAGUCUGUCCCAAUUGCUCCCAGUCCAUCCCAGUCAAUCCCAGUCAAUCCCCAUCAAUCCCAGUUCAUCCCAGUCCACCCCAGUCUAUCCCAACUCCGCAGGGCUGGGAGAGGCUUGGGGUGGGAUUUGGGAGCGGGUUGGGAUAUUUUUGGGAGCAGGUUUGGAUAUUUUUGAGAGCAGGUUUGGAUAUUUUUGGGAGCAGGUUUGGAUAUUCUUUGGGAGCAGGUUUGGAUAUUUUUGGGAGCAAAUUUGGAUAUUUUUUAGGAGCAGGUUUGGAUGUGAUUUGGAGCAGGUUUGGAUAUUUCUGGGAGCAGGUUUGGAUAUUUUUUAGGAGGAGUUUUAGGUAUUUUUUGGGAUUGGGUUUAGAUAUUUUUUAGGAGCAGGUUUGGAUGUGAUUUGGGAGCAGGUUUGGAUAUUUUUGGAGCAGGUUUGGAUCUUUUUGGGAGGAGGUUUGGAUAUUUUUGGAGCAGGUUUAGAUAUUUUUGGGAGAAGGUUUGGAUAUUUUUUGGGAGCAGGUUUGGAUAUUUUUUGGGAUCGGGUUUAGAUAUUUUUUGGGAGCAGGUUUGGGUGUUAUUUUGGGAGCAGGUUUGGAUAUUUUUGGGAGCAGGUUUGGAUCUUUUUGGGAGCAGGUUUGGAUAUUUUUGGGAGCAGGUUUGAAUAUUUUUGGGAGCAGGCUGCUAUGUUAUUUGGGAGCAGGUUGGGAUAUUUUUAGGGCAGGUUUGGAUAUUUUUGGGGAGAAGGUUUGGAUAUUUUUAGGAGCAGGUUUGGGUAUUUUUGGGAGCAGGAUCCACCUGGUCCUGCCUUAUCCCACCUGACUUUAAACUCCUGCGGGUUCCUCACAAGGAUAUUUGGGAAUUCACCCUUUCCCAGCUGCUCCAUGGGCUCUGCUUUCCAGGAAUUCCUUUGCCAGACCCUUUGUUACUUCCCAAAUCCUUUGGGAUCAGCUGGGACAGCAGAACUCUUGGAAUUUUCAAGGGGUUUCCUUCCCUUGGGAAGAGCCUCAGACUCUGGGAAAGGUUUGGGGUGAAAACUGAGGAAUUUGGGCCAAGCCCAACUCCCCCUUCCCCCCUCUGGGAGGGGACUGAGGCUUCCCAGCCCCCAAAUUAAGCCAGGAUUAAACUCCCUCCUCCCUUCCCGGGGCUUUUCCAGCCCUAAAACGCUCCCGGGGUUAUUCCAGAGCCUCUGGAAUGCGGUUGGGAUCCCAGCCCGGGAUAUCCCAGCUCGGGGAGAGGAAAACUGGGAGCUUUGGAUAAAUCUGGGGGGGCUCCAGACCAACCUGGAGCUGCCCUGAGGUUUUCCCGGGAUGUAAUUCCGGGUUUUUUCCCGUUUUCCAGGUACGAGGAUGAAAUCCGUCUCUGCAGCGGGAUGGAAUUCACCUUCAUGGAGCUCA